AUCCAGCUGACGAGUCCCAGGUUGGACGAAACGCGCUUCAAACUGCAU
rfam:Schistosoma rodhaini strain Burundi genome assembly, scaffold: SROB_scaffold0020189